rnacentral:lncRNA from 1 species
AGGAACUAAAAUACGGGGAUAAGACGCGUACCAUUUUUUAGUAUACGAGCAGUGGCGAGUGUCAGGGGGCUGGGGAGAACCAAAUCGACUACUAGCAUACGAAGUGGAUAAUUUAGAUAUUGAAGAAGGCUGUUUUUAAUUUUCAAGCGAACAAGUACACGUGAACAUUUUAAUUUUGUUUUAAUUAAAUAAAUAUAAAAAAUGAGCCACAAAAGUUGCUGUGUUUUGAGCUGUAAAAAUACAAGCAGAAAAAGUGAAUGUAAAUUUUAUAAAAUUCCGACAGUCAAAUGGAAAAUAAACUAAAGAAAAAAGUGGAUAGCUGCAGUAAGAAGGCAAUACCAUCUUCUAUGACAACACCAUCAAGACUCGCGCAGAGCCAAGGCUGAGACUUAGAAACAACACCAACUUGUUUAACCGCGCAAUUAUAAAGCUGCUCGUAAUUAUCUUUGGCAUUACUUUCAUGUUUUAAACCAUAUCGAGUUGAGGCACAAUCGAUUUUAUAAGGGUAUAAAAUAUCUGAUACCAAACUUUCGAUAGGCUUUCUUGACAAUAUUUUAAUAUUGUGCACAUUUGUACUUGCGGAUAUUCUUAAUCGUGUAGCUUUAUACCAAUCAGUCAAUGAGGAUUGUUUCAUUGUUUUACAGGCUAAAUCAAUAAUAUUUUCCUCAGAUAGUUGCACAUUUUUAAUGUAAAAGUCUUUUAUAUUUGUAUCUAGUUCGUUAGCAUUCUUAUAAGUUGCAUGAUCAUCACAAAAAAUCAAAGAAUUCCUAAUACAUUCAGCACAGUCUUCUUCUUCAAUAUUUACUUUUACUUGUGAUAAUAAUGAAUUUAGAACGCUUCUAACUAUAUGAAUAUUAUUUUUUUCUGAUUUUCCUGUUAAAAUUUGUUUUAACGGUGAUUCGGACAGCAACUCACAGAUCUGGACUUCCUGAGUUGCUUUGCAGUUAUUUGUACUUAUGUGGGACCAUAUUCUCAAAGUAUUCUCCUUUCGUAUAUUUGUUAUUGACAAAUUGCCAGGCACUUGGCUUGUCCGAUUGCUGCUCUUGACUUGUCUUUGAUAAACUUUUUAAUCUAAUUCAAAAUAAAAUUAGGGCAGCAAUGUGUUUGCGGUUUUUAUUUUUGCUAUAAACGCUAUUACAUUGCACAUCAAUGACAUGUCGCACCGCAUUUAUAUAAAAUAUUAAAAUUAAAUCUCGAUGAAAUAAUCCUGAUACUACCAUUAGCUACAAUAUAAAUUAUAAAAUUUUCAAUUACCUUUAAACGAUGUAAUGUAAGGCGUUGCAUGAACAGAUGCUUGUCGAAUAAUACGCGAUUUUAUCAAAUAACUUUCGUUAUUUCGCCGAUGUUCCUCGACAUCUCUUACAUGUUCUGCAAGAGCAAGAUUUUUACCCUUGAUGAUACUCUGUGGUUGAAAUGCUAUUGACUGAUUGAUUUGAACCCUGUUUUGAUGUCCAUCGUUUAUUUGAAA